AGUGAACGCUGGCGGUAGGCCUAACACAUGCAAGUCGAACGGCAGCACAGUAAGAGCUUGCUCUUACGGGUGGCGAGUGGCGGACGGGUGAGGAAUACAUCGGAAUCUACUUUUUCGUGGGGGAUAACGUAGGGAAACUUACGCUAAUACCGCAUACGACCUACGGGUGGAAGCAGGGGAUCUUCGGACCUUGCGCGAUUGAAUGAGCCGAUGUCGGAUUAGCUAGUUGGCGGGGUAAAGGCCCACCAAGGCGACGAUCCGUAGCUGGUCUGAGAGGAUGAUCAGCCACACUGGAACUGAGACACGGUCCAGACUCCUACGGGAGGCAGCAGUGGGGAAUAUUGGACAAUGGGCGCAAGCCUGAUCCAGCCAGACCGCGUGGGUGAAGAAGGCCUUCGGGUUGUAAAGCCCUUUUGUUGGGAAAGAAAAGCAGCAGGUUAAGACCCCGCUGUUCUGACGGUACCCAAAGAAUAAGCACCGGCUAACUGCGU
rnacentral:rRNA from 1 species